rnacentral:lncRNA from 1 species
GUUCGAAUCCGGGUCAGGGCGUUUCUGCCUGGAGUUUACAUGUUCUCCCUGUGUCUGUGUGGGUUUACUCCGGGUACUCCGGUUUCCUUCCACAUCCCAAAAACAUGCCUAAGUGGGAUUAGGUCAAUUGGUCACUUUCAAAUUGCCUGUAGGAGUGAAUGUGAGCAUGGAUGGUUGUUUGUCUCUAUAUGUUAGCCCUGCAAUGAACUGGCGACUUAUCCAGGGUGUCCUGUCCGGUCUUGGCCCUAAGUAGCUGGGAUAGGCUGCAGCCCCCCCCGCAACCCGGGGAAUGGGUAAUCGAUUGAUGGAUGGAUGGAAAGUUUAACUAGUGAUUAAUAGGUUUAUUGAGGUAAAAUCAUAGCUAAGCACUUAUCUAUUAUGCACAUGGUCAUGUGUGUUAGAGAUGAUGAUUAAGUAGGUGUGUGACACUAAACAUUUAAAAAGCGCAUUACAUGCUAUAACUGCCUAGAGAAGAUUAAUGUAACGAACCUGGGGCGCUGUAUCUAAGGGUAGUUGAUACAAAGAAAGGGCUAUACAUUUUCAGUCGUUUUUAGUUUUUACCAUCUUCUCGGGAACCUUUUUCAAAACAAAACAGCAAUAUAUGGUUUUAAUUUCCCAGUGGACAAGGCCUCAGAUCUUAAACCAGGGGGAACCAGCUCAUGCACGAGUCAAACGAAACUCCACACCAGGACUGACCUGGGAACAUUAAGCUGUGAGUAGCUUCUGCACCCCAGUGAAUGAAGCCCACAGUCAGAGUGAAGACAGGGGAUCAUUCCAAUAAAAGAAAAGAAAAAAAAAUCUCAAAAAAAUCACAAAAAUCUUUAUCCUGUGGUUUCAGUGUAAUAAAAUCAUCUUUGCCACUUCUGCAGGAUGUGAGGAGUCCGACUUGAAGCUUCAAACAAUUGCAGAGAAAGUAGCUGAUUGCUUGGACCAAACCGGCUCCUGCCUCCCUCCUGGUCUUUAUUAGAAGUUGAGACACAGGUGAGUCCAGUUACCUGCUGCACUGAGGGAAGCAGCACCAAGAGCUGCAAAAACAACAGAGACGAGCUGCAGGUGGUUUAAGCAGUUUUCUCGGAUACCAUUGUGGGAUUACUCCUACACGGAGAACACAUGCUAAAGGCUCUUUUCAUUGGGAUACAAGAUUACCGGCAUUCAUUGUGAUUUCAGAUGCAGAAUCAGCCGAGACGCACAUGUAAGACGGUAAGAAAGGCGUGAUUAUAAUCUUUCCUGAGCCACCUUACAUGGUACCGUAUUUAAAUGAAAUGUGUAAUAGCUCAGACCUUCACACACAUGCUCCCUGAUAUCUUCACACACACUUUGACACACUGCGCUCCUCUGCAACCCUCCCUCCUUUCAAGUUUCUUCGGCUAAGAGUGUUGCUUAUGCUGCCUUUCAUAUUGAAAGGGCAUCAUGAUAUUGUUAAAAUACCAUUUUCAGCCCUUUCAUCAGCAAAGGUCAGUGCAUACACUUGAAGGCCAUCCUUUGGACUCUUUAGAAGUAAGAGGCUCUCACUCAGCGCCGCUCCACUGUCAGAAGGCCUUGUGAACUGGGCUUUGUAUGGAGGGCUAUUUUAGAUGGGGUCAUCUUUUUGAAGGGAGGACUGGGGAUAGGUAGACUGUAGACUGCUAUUCAGAAACACGGAGCCAUGUCUUCACGAGUUUGGAUUCAGAUUUUGGUCGUUUAAAGGUUGCUGUUUGUUUCUGUGUUUGUGUUUUCACCUCUUUGGUUUUAGCAUGAAAGUGAAUCAGCUGAUCAUUUGCAAAAUCUGCACUUAUGGACUUCAAUCUGCUUCCUGAAUCAGUGUUUGAGCACUUAGGGCUGCAGCAAGGCCUUGUUUGUGUGUGAGGAAGCUUAGCAUCAGUGCAAGCACAGUUUUGCAGACCCUGUGCACUUUAACAAUCUUCACAAAGCCGACAAACGUGCAAUUUAGAGUGACAAUUUAGCCUGAUGAGUGUGUUUUUGGACUUUGGGAGGAAGUCUGAGUAAUCAGAGGAAACCCACGCCUUCAAAGGGAGAAUAUGUAAACCCCACACAUAAUGUUAGAGGCCAGGGAUUCCAACCAGGAACCUUCUUGCUGCGAAGUAACUUAAGGUGACCAGACUUCCCCGAUUCCUGAGGACAGUCCCCAUAUUGGAUGACCUGUCCCCGGCUAAAGCUGUCCUCGUUCAUGUCCCGAUUUAAGAGUUUCAUGAAUGAGAACAAAAAUGUUGCGUGUAGACUAGAACAACGAAUAUUACGGUAGCCAAGUAGGUAGGAAGUACGAGUAAGCAUGUUGCAUGCAGUCCUGGACAACAGUUUUUACAGGGAAUUAUUAUGGGAGGCGUGCGCUGCUACCAUAGACUGUAUAUACUAUGGACAACUUGUUUCCGCCUUCCGCCAGUAUACAGAUUUGAAGCCGAAAAGCUCUUGGUAAUUCCACGGUUUUUCUCCAUUUCCUGAAACCAACAUUGCGCAGUAGCGUUGUAUGCAUUUGGCGGGAGAGUUGCCGAGAGUCGCUGUGAUGAUGCGGCUCUCCAGAAAUGGAGGGCCUGAAAUUACAUUUACCCCCAACCUCCAGAUGUUCCCAAAUGUCCCCCGGAUUUUAUUACAGAAAUCUGGUCACCUUAAAGUAACAGCGUUAGGAAUGGCGUGAUAUCAUUAAAGCACGACUCUGUUUCAGACAGGUUUGCUCAGGUAGUCUAACCGGAGGGUACCCUAAAAACAAGGAUGGUACUUUAUGAUUGUUUUGCCCAACUUUGUAAUCUGAGCCCGACCACUUGGAGGUCCUACUUCCCAAACAAAAACAAGGCAAGGGGCUGACAGUCACUCAGAAAAUCCAAGGCUUUAGAGGCCCCAGUAGGUCUGGGAACCUCUCACAAAAACCACCGAGCAAUCUCCAUCCACAGGGUAAAUCUACAUGCUGCUGCUAAAAGUUGAACUUCAUCAGAGAUUUUCCAGUGACUAAAUUAUUCAAUCUGAGCAGUUUUCCACUUUUUGUCUCAUCCAUCAAUUGUUCCCUCAGGAGGAACUCGUCCCACAGAAUGAUUUCUGGCAGCUAUCUGCUCUGCUGACCACUUCGAGAAAUCAGCUUCAGUCUGUAAUGAAUUGGCACGACUUUGAGCCAACCUGCCCCCUCCCUCUCUUUACCCUUCGCCCACAUCCCUGCCUCCUAUUGUUUCCCCCCCGAUGAUAUCCAACGUCUGCUACCUGUCCCGCCCACAUGAGGCCAGAUCAAAGACUCUGGCUGUGAACAACGGCACACAGGAACCUAACCAGGAAGUGGAACCAGGAUCACACAGAUGCGCUUUGAAUAGUGGAGGCAAGGCUUUGACGUCCAUACGCAGUCAUUGCUGUGCUGGAAAAAUGGAUUGUUAUUGUACAAAAGACUUGACUUGACAGUGACAAUCAUUCCCAAAGCAGCUGAAAUUCAGAUUUAAAUACAAUGCAAGUUGAUCUAGUGUCGAAAACAUGCAACCGAAGCACGGCUAAGCAUAGAGGUCAUGGGAAAAAACCUACUGUCUGUCUCUGCGAACCUCAAUCUCAUUUAAAUACACUCCAAUCACUCCACCAUGGACGGAUAUGAGGGAAUGAGACCCCCAAUUUUGGGUCCUGAACCCCUUCAUUUAGAACCUGGAUCAGCCAUACAAGCUGUUCCACACAGGCAUCGACCCAGACAGCCGUGGGACUGUGGUCAACCAGGGGGCCUCACAUGGAACCUGGCCAGGCGCCACUGUGGUAGCCGAUCCCCCCGUCAUGUGACCAAUCAGCUGGCUUUUUACUGCCUGAAACUCGGUCCUAACCAAUCGCAGACUCACAAGCCUUCAGUAUCAACUAACGUCAGAUAUGCUGAGCUGUUUGGAUGAUGGCUGCUGGGCAAGAAAGAGCCAGGACUUCCUCCUUACGUCUAAAUUGGAUUAAGCGAGUUGUUAUUGCAGCUUUUUGACUGUUCGGAGUAUAAAUAAGAGAAGAGGAUUACGUGGUGAAAGUCCUGACAAUUACGGGACAUUUUCUCGGGGUUAGGCGAGGAAGAGUGUUGAGCUUACAGGAGGAGGAGCUUUAUCACUUGCAAAAUAAAAGUAUAGUUGCACAAGACCUAAACACAAGACAGAAAUAUUAUCACAGUCAAAGCAAGACAAGUGAGGCAAUGUCCUCCAAAGAAGUUUAGCCUUUCCUCAGUAUGACUAAUCUACUAAAAGAAAAACUGGAGUCAUGUUUCUCUCUCUUGUUGAGAUUAUGUAUCUCAAAAAUGCUUUGGGAAAUUAAGAAGACCAGAAACUCAAUCUGCUGGUCGUGAAGCACGGCAGUAUGGGAUGCUUUGCCGCAGAAAGGUUGCAGAGGACGUGAGGUCGGAUAGCCGGCUGGGUCGUGUCGGGGGAUUCUGUGUGUCCUCCCUGCAGCUGAAGGAAAAGCAUCUUUUGUAAAGGAGAGCGAUCACCAUUGUCCCCUUCUGAUGUUUACGUUUGUCUUGAAUUUCACCCAGUGCUCAGCGCCGCCCCGCCGAGCCACAGGAUGGGCAUUGUUCUGGGCCCGUGCAGGAAUGGUAGCCUGCAGUCACCUUCUCUCUGACUGUCGCCAUUGUCCCCCCCCUCCACCAACGCUCUUUUGUUUUUGCUCCCCACCACAGACAGCUCAGAUUGUUGCCUGAUGUUGUUUCCUCUCAUCCCAUUGUUUCCACGUCUCCUCUUUGUAUGACUUUCCUCCUCUGUGUAGGCCGGUGUUGGCUGAGCGGUUAGAGGGGAUGGGGAGUGAGGGGCUGGAGGAGCAGAGGGGGGUUAGGGUACACAGAGUGCAUGUGAAGUUUUAUGGCUAACCACAUGUGUUUUUGAAUCUUUGAGCCUCCUCGUUUUUUCCCAGGGUGAGGGGUUGUAGUCUGUAGCAGGAGGAUGGGGCGGAGAGAGGGAAGUUGGGGUAUGAGAGAGAGAGAGAAUUAAGGAGCCAGGACCGGGACAUGUGGUUCUUGUUUGGGGCGCUACAUGCCGAGAUGGAGGGUCUGGCCUCUCUUCUCUCCUAACCUGCAUCAACAAUCUAAACACCAUGCUGAUUAUUAAACAGUAUGGAUGCUCUCAAGGCCAGUGAUAAAUGCAGCGAGAGCACAACUCACACUCCUCUUCAUUUGCAAAUCAGCCGGUCAGAAAGCGACUGAAGUACAGAGAGGAUUCAAGGACGCUCUCAUAUUACGAAUCUAUCACAUUUCCUUUGUGAUAUUCUACAUCUCCGAUGUCCUAGAUGAGGCUUUUUGUUAGUUGUAACUGUGUGGGAGUGCAUUAGCAUGAUGCCUCCAGGCUGAAUUCACAACAGUAUGCGGUAAAGUUCUACUGAGAACCACGUGAACACAAACCACAGCCCUCCUUCAGUCUGUUAGAGACAAGAAACACCCACAUAACUGCAAAGUCUUCAGAGGAACGAGCUGUUUUAUAUGCAAACAGCCCCAAAACACCAAAAGGCCACUCUGGGAGGCCAAUGAUUUAAUGUAAUACAAUCUGUGCUACAAUUACCCUUAAUAGAAAUCCAUUUAAAAAUGUUUUUAUUAGGAUGGAUCAGCACAGUGAUCUUGUAUUUGAUGUGUUUGAAUCACGAUGAAAUAUAGUUUAGAAAGUUGCAACUUUAAAGUCUCACUUUGAUUUUUUUUUCUACUAAAAGUGUUAUAAGUGGUCUUUGAAUCGCGAUUAUGAAGUUUUUAGCCAAAACCACGUGACCUGUGUCAUUUUCAAGGGAUUUUCUUCUGCAGAGCUCCAAUAGCUCAUUAGCAACUCGCUUCUGUGUCGUGGGCGGAGACAACGCUGCUCUGCACAUUCCUCUUUACGCUAACUUGCAGCCUAACAUUGCCGGUGUUGUACAUCAUGGUCUCAACUUUCUCUGUAAGUGCAUAGAAACUCUACAGUAUGCUUGCAAAAGGUAGACAAAACCUUUAUUAACUUUCUGCAUGAAAAAAGCAGACCCUUUGUAGAUUUUCUGUCCCAUCCCACACGUUUGAUUACAUGUUUUAUCACCUUCACUCUGCUUAGACAGGGAAUUCAGAGGAGGGGGGUAUGGAGGACUAAAAGUGACAGAAUGAAAUAGAUAAAUACAUCUUUAAAUAGAUACUUAAAUAUGUCAUAAAUUAAAUAAAAUGGGAAUUUAAUACAUAAAUGUGUCAAUAAUUUAUUCAAAUGCCAUUUAAUUUAAUUUAAAAACGUAUAAUUAUUUCACUAUUUAAUCAAUUAUUUCAAGGACCUGUGUUGCGGUGCUUCAUGAAUUUAUCACAUUUAUUGAUUGAAUUGCAAUUUUAAUUUAUUAAUGAAACAUUUAAGUAUUUAUUUAAAGAUGUAUUUAUAUAUUUCAAUCUCUCUGUUAGUCCUCCAUAGAUGAGGGAUAUGAAAAUGCCCUGGAGGGUUUAUCACAGAAAAGCUGUUGGCCUCAUGAAGUGAGUGGAUUUUACAGCAAGUUGGCACAUUCAGACUCUAGAGCUGAUACUGUUUACACAACAAUAUUAUGUUGUAUGUUUGGAUGAUUUUGGUGCAUGCUUUACAGACUUUUCCUUUUACACUGACUUUGGCAUUUGUGUAUUUGAUCAGAAAGAAACAAAACUCAAGCUCCUUUUUACUCUCUUCAUCUGAUGGGUCUGACUCGGCUGAUGGAGUGUAGUGUGCUUUAUUGUCAAACAGCCAAAAUACUGAGCUAGCAGCGUGAGAAUCAGUAGUCCCCACACGAAAUAAAGGGGCAGAGGAAGGUGAACUGAGUUUCAGAUCUCCAAAUUUCCCAAAGAAAAGCCUCUCUGCCUCUUCAUAAGAACAAACCCGAGUUAAUCCUGCUUCCAUGAAUGAGGCUACAGUUAAAAAGAUCAGUGCCGGUGAGCUUUAAAGAUGGAGGGGGGCCGUGGUCAAACUCAUUUCUUGAUUACCUCAUGGCCUUACACAAUCAGCGCUGCUGCUCAUUUGGCUCCCCUUUUUCAUGACAUCCUCUUGAACCCCCCCUGAGUGAUGUCAUCCCUCCGUCCUCGGCCUUCACCUUGCUGGAAAGAGUAGAAGAAGAAAAAAGGGGAGGAAGGGGAAAGAAAGAAGCCAUGGAAGGAGGUGAGCUUGGAGCCGGGGGUCCUCACUCCUGCUGGUCUGCCUGGGAAAGGAGCAGGCCUGGCUUCACAUCACACACACAGCCUGAACCAGCAUAUGUGUGAGCGCGCAUGAGAGUGCAUUGACUUGCAAGAGAGUGAGCGUAGCUGUGCGUGACUGGGAGAAGAGAGGAGUUUCAAAGAGGAGAAUUAGAAAGGAUAACAGGGAACGUGUGAGAGGGCAGGGAAAAUCAGGGAGAGGAUAAAAACACUUCAUAGAUGUGAUGAAAGAAGUCAUGAGGAGGGUGAAUAUGGAUGAUGGCUCAACUACGGUGGCCGGCAAGGUCAAAACAGGAUUUUCAAAGAGAGCUGGGCUGCGAAUUCGUUAUGAAAUAAAAACACCUGCAACAAUCCAAAGCAGAUAAUAUGCAGCAGGACCUGGCUGGUAAAAGAAGUUUGGUGUUCGAUUGUGACCAGUGUUUAACAGAAGUUUGAGGAUAUGUAGGGACUAGGGUGACCAUAUUCUGAAUUCUCAAAAAGAGGACACGACUACACAGGGGUGGAGUCACGGAGCCGCGCGUAGUUAAUUUUGAGAUUUUUUCUGGGUCGAGUGUUUUUUAUGUGCUUCUAACUCAGUAAGUCCAUGCGACACAAACUCAAAACUUCCAUGCAAAACCCUGGACAUUUGAAGGAAUUUAUAAACUUCUCUGGACAAGGCCAGACAUCCCCCAAAAGAGGACAUGUCCGGGUAAAAGAGGAUGUAUGGUCACCCUAGCAGGAACAAGAUUAGAGGAUCAUCCUGAUAUCGUCUGCUUGUUCCUGACUCUUAGCCUACACUUCAUGUCUCUUUCUUAAGCUGUCCGAUCAAAUAAAGACUAAAAAAAUAACCCUUAAGAGUAUUUGAGGUUUAGAUCUGUGCAGUUAAAGUUAGAAAUACAGAAACCAUUGGUGUCAGCUGAACAAAACUUCGGAGGGGGCAAAGAGGGCAGGGGGGAGGCAUCAGAGGCAGGAAUUAGGGAGGGGAGGGAGGAGAGGGCUGUGAUCCAGAUGAAAAGCUAAAAAAAUGCCAAAUGUGGAAAAAGAAGCUGCAGCGCUUGCUCGCUCGCUCGCUCGUCCCUGGCUGGGCGUGGGUCAGAGCCGGAGUAAACAAACCCACAGCUAAGCUGCCUGUUUGAUCUGUUCAGCUGCGAAACACUGAGUGGAGUAAACAGAAAAAUUAGACUGGGUCAGCUUCAGAGGGGGGCCGUGCAUAGACCGGGGUGUGAGUGAGUGAGUGAGUGUGUGUGUGUGUGUGUGUGUGUGUGUGUGUGUGUGUGUAUGUUGUUUCAUCCGGAUACACACACACCAAAAAAAGUUAGCUGUUCCAACCCAAAAGCAAACUGACAGGGGGAUCUGCUCAGUCUGAGAUGACCACUUUUCAGCACCUUAAACUCAGCCUGUCAGCACUUAUUUUGGGUUUUAAUGUCACACGGCGCCUCAGGACCAAACGGGGUCUGACUUGGACGAGGAUUUUCUCUCUGCCAGGAACAGAAGUCGACCACUUGAAGACAUUAGUCCUGUUUCUUCAAAUGCCAAAGCAUGAAAACCAGAAAAUCAGCAGCGUUGAGUUUAAGAGUUCCUACAAGGAGCUUUAAAGAAGGGGAGUCGUAUUUUUAUAUCAAAGUUUAAAGUUGGAUGCUUCUCAUUCAGAAACAGCAGCGGUGUGCUUUACCCUGAAGUGCCUGUCAGAUAACAAAAGAGUGAAGUUUUAUUCCCUCUCUCUCUUUUCUAACGUCAGAAUCUGUGCUCCUUUUGCAGAUGAACUCCUGACUCUUUCCAGAUCAUUUCAGGACCUGAUAUAUUUUUGGAAACGUCCUUUAACAGUCAGUCCAUUUUUGUUGCAUCACGGCUGAAAUGAAUGCCUCUAUUUGUCCUAUAAAUGGUGACACCUCAUCUUCUCCAGCUUUUAAUCAGUCUUUUAAAAGGAACUCAAGGUUUUAAUGAUUGUUGAAUGAUACCACAUUACAAUAAUGAAGCCAAAGAAGGAUCACUCAGUCGCUUCAUUAAUUUGACGGAGGAUCUUGUCAUGACGCUUCAUCUUCGCACGUCUUAAAGCGUGAUUUAAUGCAGAUAUGUGCAAAACCUGUCAAAGGCACAAUGGCCUGAAGAUCAGAGGCUCGGCGUCACUUUGUUGGCGGCUACCUUUGAAAACUUGUUACUCGGCUGAAAAAGAAACACGUCAGGCGGAAGAAUCUUCACGACACGCCUUUGCCUGUUUUUCCAGCCUUGAAGAAGUUAAAAUUAGUCUUUUAAAAGGCAGAAUUCAAAGCUGGGAGCAUGAAAAGGGGGGCAGAAUGAAAUGUCGGCACUGCAGUGUUAAAAGGGAGAUGGGAGAUGAGAGAUCCUAGUGUCUGACUUUGGUGUGACUUCAAAAGGCUGUGUUUAAAGCGGCAGGCCUUAAUGCUGGCCUGAUAGCACAACUGUCAUGUCUGUGUGACCUCCCACAGCUGGCCAGCCAGGAACACAGGACCCAUGCGGCGUGCGUCUGUGUGUGUGUGUGUUUGUGUGUGUUACAGAUUUCUUGAUGUGAGCUUCUGAACUUGUUUGCUUUUUGUAUAUUUGUGUGUCAGCACUCUUGUGGCUCUUGCUGUGUGUCUUGAUGUGAUUGUCUGUGUGCCCUUUAAUGUUCCUGUUUUGAAGUCGGUGUGUGUGUGUUUGCCUGAGCCAUGACUUUGUGCGUGUGUGUGUGUGUGUGUGUGUGUGCACAGAGGUUGAAGAUCUAAGCCAGGCUCUGCCCUCUCUCCCUAUGCACAGGGCCCUUUUUUCCUCCUUGUUAAGAUUCAAAAGCUGAUAGGCUUUGAACUGCAGCUGUAGACUCUGCAGUCAUUUCAGCACUUUAGCUCAACUAGCUAAAGUUGCCCUUGCGCUGCCUGUCACCCCAACGCCGCUGCCAUUACGAACCAUCACACCAGCCACAUUAACGGCGGAGCAGCGGGCGAAGGCGUACAGCAGCAUUUAUUAAAGCGGGGAUUUUCCUUUGAUGUGGCAAAACAGACAACUGGUCUGAACACGAUGUCCCUCAGUUCAACUUUUUCCCUUUGAGAGAGAAGCUGAUCUAAUGUUUGGCAUGUCAUAAACAACUGGCGAAAUGGGCUGAAGACUUUUAUCCAUUCAGAACUUGUUAACUUUGUUGGUCGCUCUGUCAGUCUGUGCAUCACUUUGGUCUGGACUGAAAGAACGUCUCGGAUUACCCUCAGCCUCCACAUCUGCUGAAGAACUUUUUAGAUAAGCCACAGACGCAAUAGUUCAAUCAGUGAGUCUAAAACAAAUAGUUUGAAACCAUAAAGUGCUUUCCAGAAGAGCAGAUCCCAGGUAGUAUGAUGCUGUCUCUAACCUGUGAUAUCAAAACAAUCAACAAAGAAGUUCGCGCAAGGCUAUCUAGCUAAAUGUCAACUUUCCCGCUUACCUUUUAUGUCGACGAUACAACAAUUUCUGCAUUUUCACCCCCCUCUGUAGAGGUUUUACUCACUACCCUGCUGGAUUUAUGGAUUCAUGCUAUUCAACUCCAGGUUAAAGCUAAACUUACAUGCAGAAACUCCAUCUGCAUAGUCUGUUGUGUUAUGCUGCGUCCCUGUUACUUCGGAAGUCGGAUGUCAGAGCUUGGAAUGAUGUUACACCCCAGUUGACGGUGUUCAGGUAAAACCAACAUGAAUGCCUACUGUUACCCGUUGUUAGCUGUUGUUGACAAUUGUCAGCUGUCGUUAUCUGUUGUCAGCUGUUGUUAGUUGUUGUUAGCGAUACCAGUUGUAAACAACGCAUAACACAGUAUUUUACUCUUACAAACACCACAGCACCGUGUUCACAGUUAGACGUCUGGCAGUCCAACAUGUACCACUUAUUUAAUUUCACAAAAACAAAACAGAAAUACUUAUAGAUAAUACAUUACGAGAGCUUUCACUGUCACUCUUUACUGUUGAUGCGCUGCGCUGCCAUCUUGAAUUAUGACACUGUUGUCAAGUCAGGGUUGGUGAGGAUUGUCUGAUUUUUCCGAGGCAGAAAUCCGACUUCAGGGGCUCGGAGCUCGGAGCUCGGGAAUCCCGACUUCCAAGUACAACUGUAA